UGAGAGAUUUUGCAACGUGCUGCAGACCAGCUGAGCAAUAUUCGAAUUCCAGCUGUGAACGUGAGGGAGGCAGUUUUCUGUCAAGUAAUAAGUGUUUGAAACUCCGAUUGGUUUUUCUUAGAGACACAGAAAGACUCGGAGGAUUGUGAUGGCGAGCCCAGCCCUGUGAACUGCUGACGGUCAAAGAAGCGGUGUGGCCUACCGUUAAGACCGUUUACAGGAGACAGCGGAUUUAUCAGAGUUUUGCCCAGCAUCAGAUAAGAACUUACUUACACUAAUUACUCUACCCGGGUAGAACAGCCAUAGGAAACACCUUUAAUUUACAUUCAAGGACUAGAACUGAACUUUGGAAUCCAUACCUCUUUAAAUAUAAGGAGUGGUAUUGAAUUGAAGAUCUCUUGCACUUAACAUAAUUUUUAUUUUUAAG